rnacentral:lncRNA from 1 species
GUUUAACCAACCUCUUAUAUACAGUCAAGAUCACAGAUUUAUGGGAAAAAAAUGGGGUUAGAGGCACAAACACGUAAACACUUCAAUGACAAAUUAGAAAAAGAUAGGAAGCUCAUACAAAUGGUAGCAUAGUUAUAUACUUUCUAAGUGGUUAGGAAAUAGAUAAAUAAUUCAAUAUGAAACUUUACCUUGACAGAGAGACCUGAUGUUUACUUGGGAGGAGGCCUCAGAAUUAUAGCCUGAGAGUCAGUGAAGUGGCGAAGCGAGAAUGAUCUGAAAUCUGCCAGAGUUGUAAUGCCAGCUCUGUAAUGGUGUGGCUCGCAGCACAGCUGACAUAACAGGUAGAUCUGAGGAGUGCGCAUGUGUGCAUUUUGUACAUUCCUAUGCAUUUUGGUUCAGAACGGGGCAGUUUUUCUAUUGUCAUGUAGUUUUUCCUCACUUAUGAAAUUGCACAUAAGCAAAAGUGGAAUGUGCAUCAUGCUUAAACUGUUCCUUAACUAUCAAUCUCAUUGCAACAGAUUUCUGUUUUCAAAGGAAGCAUCAUAGCAGGGCCCCGCCUGAUGUCACUUCAACUCUGAGUGCCAACAUGAAAACACACAAAAGCCUAUUUUCCAACUUGUAGAUCAGAAAACAGGCCUGAUACUGGGAGACAUGUUUUCAUAUCAAGUAUGCAGCAUUCUGACAAAGCUCCUCCAUCCCCACCUUUCUCAGGGGUGCAUACCUUCUCUGCCCUGUGCAUGCAGACAGGCAAAUUUGAGUGGGAUAUUACCAAACGGCAAAUACAUGGCACAUGUUGCCUGGAUUCACAAAGUAAUCCUCGGUUAAAUACAGAUCCACUGAAAUUUUGCUUUAUCUUCACUUUUUGUCAUCUGCCCUUGCCACUAGUUAAAGGGCAGAAAUUCACCUGGACGCUGGGUGUUUUUGUAAUCGAUCUCCAGGAAUGCACGUUUUAAAUAUCUCAAUGACGGCCCAAGAUUCUCAAUUUUCAUGUGACAGUGGCAACAGGUCUGAUGGAAAGCAGCAGAUAGCCUUGUGAUGUGUCAAAGUGGCACCAGUGUCCAAUGAAACUGAUUCCUGCUGGAAGAUGUCACUUAAUAUGGCAUUAUCUAGACUACCCACGUAAACCCAGUUGACUUGCCAUCUGUUCCACAGUGAAACUGGCACAGUCUCUAAGAGGAAACAUACUGCCAUCCUAUAUAAUGGCCAUUGGGAUGGAAAGCCAAUUGACCAUGAUAAGUUCUGUUGAUUAAUUGUUGAUGUUAAAAUAAAGAUUGUAAGCCAAAAAAAGUUUAUAAGACU